rnacentral:tRNA from 1 species
CAAAAAGUAGUUUAUAAAAAAUUAUAGUUUUGGGUACUAUUGAAAAGGUUAGUUCUUUUUGU